AUUGAACGCUGGCGGCAUGCCUAACACAUGCAAGUCGAGCGGAUGAAGGGAGCUUGCUCCUGGAUUCAGCGGCGGACGGGUGAGUAAUGCCUAGGAAUCUGCCUGGUAGUGGGGGAUAACGUCCGGAAACGGGCGCUAAUACCGCAUACGUCCUGAGGGAGAAAGUGGGGGAUCUUCGGACCUCACGCUAUCAGAUGAGCCUAGGUCGGAUUAGCUAGUUGGUGGGGUAAAGGCCUACCAAGGCGACGAUCCGUAACUGGUCUGAGAGGAUGAUCAGUCACACUGGAACUGAGACACGGUCCAGACUCCUACGGGAGGCAGCAGUGGGGAAUAUUGGACAAUGGGCGAAAGCCUGAUCCAGCCAUGCCGCGUGUGUGAAGAAGGUCUUCGGAUUGUAAAGCACUUUAAGUUGGGAGGAAGGGCAGUAAGUUAAUACCUUGCUGUUUUGACGUUACCAACAGAAUAAGCACCGGCUAACUACGUG
rnacentral:rRNA from 1 species